UGUGUUUGUAAGUGUGUAAGGGCGCACGUGGGAUAUGCCGUGACUCUGGGAGCCGAUGAAGGACGUGGGAGA
rnacentral:rRNA from 1 species